rnacentral:rRNA from 1 species
GCGUAUAUUAAAGUUGUUGCAGUUAAAAAGCUCGUAGUUGAAUUUCGGGGUCAGCAGGUUGGUCGUGCCACUGGUAUGAACUGGUUUCGCUGAUUCCUCCUUUCUGAAGAACUGUAAUGUCAUUAAUUUGGUGUUGCAGGGAAACAGGACUGUUACUUUGAAAAAAUUAGAGUGUUUAAAGCAGGCUAACGCUUGAAUACAUUAGCAUGGAAUAAUGAAAUAGGACGUUCAAACCUAUUUUGUUGGUUUCUAGGAUUGACGUAAUGAUUAAUAGGGAUAGUUGGGGGCAUUAGUAUUCAAUUGUCAGAGGUGAAAUUCUUGGAUUUAUUGAAGGCUAACUACUGCGAAAGCAUUUGCCAAGGAUGUUUUCAUUAAUCAAGAACGAAAGUUAGGGGAUCGAAGACGAUCAGAUACCGUCGUAGUCUUAACCAUAAA